rnacentral:rRNA from 1 species
AGUGAACGCUGGCGGCAGGCCUAACACAUGCAAGUCGAACGGCAGCACAGUAAGAGCUUGCUCUUAUGGGUGGCGAGUGGCGGACGGGUGAGGAAUACAUCGGAAUCUACUCUUUCGUGGGGGAUAACGUAGGGAAACUUACGCUAAUACCGCAUACGACCUACGGGUGAAAGCGGAGGACCUUCGGGCUUCGCGCGAUUGAAUGAGCCGAUGUCGGAUUAGCUAGUUGGCGGGGUAAAGGCCCACCAAGGCGACGAUCCGUAGCUGGUCUGAGAGGAUGAUCAGCCACACUGGAACUGAGACACGGUCCAGACUCCUACGGGAGGCAGCAGUGGGGAAUAUUGGACAAUGGGCGCAAGCCUGAUCCAGCCAUGCCGCGUGGGUGAAGAAGGCCUUCGGGUUGUAAAGCCCUUUUGUUGGGAAAGAAAAGCAGUCGGUUAAUACCCGAUUGUUCUGACGGUACCCAAAGAAUAAGCACCGGCUAACUUCGUGCCAGCCGCCGCGGUAAGAC